AUUGAACGCUGGCGGCAUGCCUUACACAUGCAAGUCGAACGGCAGCACGGGAGCAAUCCUGGUGGCGGGUGGCGAACGGGUGAGUAAUAUAUCGGAACGUGCACAGUCGUGGGGGAUAACGUAGCGAAAGCUACGCUAAUACCGCAUACGAUCUAUGGAUGAAAGCGGGGGAUCGCAAGACCUCGCGCGAUUGGAGCGGCCGAUAUCAGAUUAGGUAGUUGGUGAGGUAAAGGCUCACCAAGCCGACGAUCUGUAGCUGGUCUGAGAGGACGACCAGCCACACUGGGACUGAGACACGGCCCAGACUCCUACGGGAGGCAGCAGUGGGGAAUUUUGGACAAUGGGCGCAAGCCUGAUCCAGCAAUGCCGCGUGCAGGAUGAAGGCCUUCGGGUUGUAAACUGCUUUUGUACGGAGCGAAAAGGCUUCCACUAAUACUGGGGGCUCAUGACGGUACCGUAAGAAUAAGCACCGGCUAACUACGUGCCAGCAGCCGCCGUAA
rnacentral:rRNA from 1 species